rnacentral:rRNA from 1 species
GAGCGGGAUUGCAGCAAUGCAGUCCAGCGGCAGACGGGUGAGUAACGCGUAGGAACCUACCUUUUUUUGGGGAAUAGCUCGUCGAAAGACGGGGUAAUACCGCAUAAGUCCGUAAGGAGAAAGCCGUAAGGCGAAAAAAGAGGGGCCUGCGUCCUAUCAGCUAGUUGGUGAGUUAAUAGCCCACCAAGGCGAUGACGGGUAGCCGAUGUGAGAGCAUGAUCGGUCACAAGGUAACUGAGACACGGUGCCUACACCUACGGGUGGCAGCAACUGGGAAUCUUGCGCAAUGGACGAAAGUCUGACGCAGCGACACCGCGUGUGGGAUGAAGUAUUUCGGUAUGUAAACCACUGUGGCAGGGGAACAAAAAAAUGAGGGUACCCUGCUAGAAAGCACCUGCUAACUACGUGCCAGAAGCCUCGGUAAUACGUAGGGUGCAAGCGUUAUCCGGAUUUACUGGGCGUAAAGAGUGUCGUAGGUGGGUAUGUGCGUGGCGGGUUUAAGCCUGAAGCUCAACUUCAGAAAGGCUCGUCAUACGGCAUAUCUUGAGUCUGUUAGGGGGAACUGGAAUUCUCGGUGUAGGGGUGAAAUCCGUAGAUAUCGAGAAGAACGCCAAGGGUGAAGACAGGUUCCUGGGACAGCACUGACACUGAUGAACGACAGCUAGGGGAGCGAAAGGGAUUAGAGACCCCUGUAGUCCUAGCCGUAAACUUUGCUCGCUAGAUGGUCUGAUUUUUCGGGCUGUCGUAAGCUAACGCGUUAAGCGAGCCGCCUGGGGAGUACGGCCGCAAGGCUAAAACUCAAAGGAAUUGACGGGGGAGCGCACAACCGGUGGAGCAUGUGGUUUAAUUCGAUACGAAGCGAAAGACCUUACCCAGGUUUGACAUGUACCUGCACGGUUAUGGAAACAUAGCCUUCUUCGAGAGUGGUACACAGGUGAUGCAUGGCUGUCGUCAGCUCGUGGCGUGAGUCGUCCGCUUAAGUGCGGUAACGAGCGCAACCCCUAUCUUGUGUUAAAUAUUCACAAGAGACUGCCUAUCUUUUAGAUGGGAGGAAGGAGGGGAUGAUGUCAAGUCAGCACGUCCCUUACAUCUGGGGCAACACACAUCCUACAAUGGCGAUGACAACGGGUCGCGACGGGGUAACCCUGAGCUAAUCCUAAUAAACAUCGCCCCAGUUCAGAUUGUGGGCUGAAACCCGCCCACAUGAAGUCGGAAUCGGUAGUAAUCGCAGGUCAGCAGGCUGCGGUGAAUACGUUCUCGCUCCUUGUACACACUGCCCGUCAAAUGAGCAAAGCUGGCAAUGCCCGAAGCGGAUGACCCUAACUCGCAAGAGAGGGGCGCCACUACGGCAAGGUCAGUGAUGAGCGUU